UGGUUUCUCUUCAGAUUGCAUAAAUCUUUCACCUUUUACUAAAAAUUUCCAUGCAGAGGAACACCAGU
rnacentral:snRNA from 1 species